ensembl:lncRNA
GCCAAACCUGGGGGAUGUAAAUGGACUGCAUUUAUAUAGCGCUUUUUCUAACCAUUGGCCACCCAAUCCGCUUUACAAUUUUGCCUCACAUUCACUCACACAUUCACACACCGACGGCGGAGUCAACCAUGCAAGGCGACAGCCAGCUCGUCGGGAGCUGAAGCACACCUCGACACUCAGCUAGGAGGAGCCGGGGAUCGUACCAACAACCUUCAGGUUACCAGCCAACCCUCUCUACCUCCUGAGCUACUGCCGCCACUGGAGCCCACGACCAGAGACAAUGCUGGAGGUAAUGCCAUGAAGGCGGAAUACGUGGGCGACCAGGAGGUCCGCGGUCACCCUGGCAGAGGGGAGAGCGGGGAGGGCGUUGAAGCGAGCGGCCGUGGAGAAGCGGUCUAUGACCGUCAGGAUGGUGGUGUUACCGUAGGAGGCGGGGAGACCGGCGACGAAGUCCACGGCAAUGUGAGACCAGGGCCGAGGAGGAAUGGGCAGAGGGUGAAGGAGGCGGGAGAGGGGCCUAUUGGAGGUCUUGUUCCGAACACAGGUGGGGCAGGCUGCGAUGAAUGCCCGGGUGUCAGGGACCAUGGUGGGCCGCCAGCACCGCUGGCGUAGGAAAGCUAGCGUCCGACUGAUGCCAGGAUGACAGUUGUCAACGGACAGGUCCUUGGAGCGGACAGAGUCCGGGACAAAAAUACGGUUGGGCGGCCCGCUGCUCGGGUCAGGUGGUCAUCGUGUCACUGUGGCUUCAAUCUCCCAGACGAGGGUGGUGAAAAGGCAGGUGGAUGGCGGGUUGGGCUCUGGCUCCGCCGUGUGUACAGAGAGAGAGAGAGAGAGAGAGAGAGAGAGAGAGAGAGAGAGAGGGAGAGAGAGCGAGAGAGAGAGAGAGAGAUAGAACCAUUUCCUUAUAUCCCCCACUCCGCGUUGACUCUCGGGUGCAGGUCAACUUUAACUACCAUGACUCCCUACUCUGUAUUUCUCUCGGCUCUUUAUGUAUUUAGUUUUUGGUUCACAGGCCUACAAGGGUACACAAAUAAUUCCUUAUUUUUACUGAAGGGAAAUGAUUUAGUAAUGAAAAU